GAUGAAGAACGCAGCGAAAUGCGAUAAGUAAUGCGAAUUGCAGAAUUCCAGUGAGUCAUCGAAUCUUUGAACGCACAUUGCGCCCUUUGGUAUUCCGAAGGGCAUGCCUGUUCGAGCGUCAUUAUCACCCCUCAAGCCCUCGGCUUGGUGUUGGACGGUUUGGUGGAGGCCCCCUCGGGGGUUCCUGCCCCUCCCAAAGACAAUGACGGCGGCCUCGUUGGACCCCCGGUACACUGAGUUCUUCACGGGACACGUAUCGGACACAUGGGUUUGCGGGACACGGUCUGCCUCCCCUCAGGGAGAAUCUUUCUAAGGUUGACCUCGGAUCAGGUAGGGAUACCCGCUGAACUUAAGCAUAUCAAUAAGCGGAGGA
rnacentral:misc_RNA from 1 species